UACAGAGGGGGCAAGCGUUGUUCGGAAUUACUGGGCGUAAAGGGCGCGUAGGCGGUCUUAUAAGUCUCGUGUGAAAUCCCUCGGCUUAACUGAGGAACUGCACGGGAUACUGCAAGACUUGAGAUCGGGAGAGGGAAGCGGAAUUCCGGGUGUAGCGGUGAAAUGCGUAGAUAUCUGGAGGAACACCGGUGGCGAAGGCGGCAUCCUGGACCGAUACUGACGCUGAGGAGCGAAAGCCAGGGGAGCAAACGGG
rnacentral:rRNA from 1 species